UGGAUCGUAGCUUAAUUCGGUAAAGCACCGCACUGUGACUGCGGCCAUUGCGGGUUCGAAUCCCGUCGAUCCACCCA
rnacentral:tRNA from 1 species